GAUGAACGCUGGCGGCGUGCCUAAUACAUGCAAGUCGAGCGAACAGACGAGGAGCUUGCUCCUCUGACGUUAGCGGCGGACGGGUGAGUAACACGUGGAUAACCUACCUAUAAGACUGGGAUAACUUCGGGAAACCGGAGCUAAUACCGGAUAAUAUAUUGAACCGCAUGGUUCAAUAGUGAAAGACGGUUUUGCUGUCACUUAUAGAUGGAUCCGCGCCGCAUUAGCUAGUUGGUAAGGUAACGGCUUACCAAGGCAACGAUGCGUAGCCGACCUGAGAGGGGUGUCGGCCCAAAGGGAACGGGAACACGGGCCAACCCCCCAAGGGGGGCAACAGGAGGGAAACUUCCGAAAUGGGCGAAAGCCUGAAGGGGCAACCCCGGGGGGGUGAAGAAGGUUUUCGGAUUGUAAAACCUUUUUAUUAGGGAAAAAAAAAUUGUUAAGUAAAUUAGCCCCGUUUGGCGGUUCCUAAUCAAAAAGGCACGGCUAAAUAC
rnacentral:rRNA from 1 species